GACGAACGCUGGCGGCGUGCCUAAUACAUGCAAGUAGAACGCUGAAGGAGGAGCUUGCUUCUCCGGAUGAGUUGCGAACGGGUGAGUAACGCGUAGGUAACCUGCCUGGUAGCGGGGGAUAACUAUUGGAAACGAUAGCUAAUACCGCAUAAGAGUAGAUGUUGCGUGACAUUUGCUUAAAAGGUGCAAUUGCAUCACUACCAGAUGGACCUGCGUUGUAUUAGCUAGUUGGUGAGGUAACGGCUCACCAAGGCGACGAUACAUAGCCGACCUGAGAGGGUGAUCGGCCACACUGGGACUGAGACACGGCCCAGACUCCUACGGGAGGCAGCAGUAGGGAAUCUUCGGCAAUGGACGGAAGUCUGACCGAGCAACGCCGCGUGAGUGAAGAAGGUUUUCGGAUCGUAAAGCUCUGUUGUAAGAGAAGAACGAGUGUGAGAGUGGAAAGUUCACACUGUGACGGUAUCUUACCAGAAAGGGACGGCUAACUACGUG
rnacentral:rRNA from 1 species